ACAUGCAAGUCGAGGGGUAGAGUUCUUCGGAACUUGAGACCGGCGCACGGGUGCGUAACGCGUAUGCAAUCUACCUUUUACAGAGGGAUAGCCCAGAGAAAUUUGGAUUAAUACCUCAUAGUAUUUAUGACUCGGCAUCGAGCUAUAAUUAAAGUCACAACGGUAAAAGAUGAGCAUGCGUCCCAUUAGCUAGUUGGUAAGGUAACGGCUUACCAAGGCUACGAUGGGUAGGGGCCUGAGAGGGAGAUCCCCCACACUGGUACUGAGACACGGACCAGACUCCUACGGGAGGCAGCAGUGAGGAAUAUUGGACAAUGGCCGCAAGCCUGAUCCAGCCAUGCCGCGUGCAGGAUGACGGUCCUAUGGAUUGUAAACUGCUUUUAUACGAGAAGAAACACUACUUCGUGAAGUAGCUUGACGGUAUCGUAAGAAUAAGGAUCGGCUAACUCCGUGCCAGCAGCCGCGGUAAUACGGAGGAUCCAAGCGUUACCGGAAUCAUUGGGUUUAAAGGGUCCGUAGGCGGUUUAAUAAGUCAGUGGUGAAAGCCCAUCGCUCAACGGUGGAACGGCCAUUGAUACUGUUAGACUUGAAUUAUUAGGAAGUAACUAGAAUAUGUAGUGUACGGUGAAAUGCUUAGAAAUUACAUGGAAUACCAAUUGGCGAANGCAGGUUANUACUAAUGGAUUGACCCUGAUGGACGAAAG
rnacentral:rRNA from 1 species